rnacentral:piRNA from 1 species
CACAGAAAGAGAACCUUCAGGGACCA